rnacentral:rRNA from 1 species
AACGAACGCUGGCGGCAUGCCUAACACAUGCAAGUCGAACGAGACCUUCGGGUCUAGUGGCGCACGGGUGCGUAACGCGUGGGAACCUGCCCUUAGGUUCGGAAUAACUCCCCGAAAGGGGUGCUAAUACCGGAUAAUGUCUUCGGACCAAAGAUUUAUCGCCUUUGGAUGGGCCCGCGUUGGAUUAGCUAGUUGGUAGGGUAAAAGCCUACCAAGGCGACGAUCCAUAGCUGGUCUGAGAGGAUGAUCAGCCACACUGGGACUGAGACACGGCCCAGACUCCUACGGGAGGGAGCAGGGGGGAAUAUGGGACAAUGGGCGAAAGCCGGAUCCAGCAAGGCCGCGAGAGUGAUGAAGGCCUUAGGGUUGUAAGGCUCUUUUACCCGGGAUGAUAAGGACAGUACCGGGAGAAUAAGCUCCGGCUAACUCCGU